GCUGGGUGUGGUGGCACCUGUCUGUAAUCCCAGUGGCUCAGGAGGCUGAGACAGGAGAAUCAGGAGUUCAAAGCUAGUCUCAGCAAAGGUGAGGCACUGGGACUCAGUGAGACCCUGUCUUAU
rnacentral:sRNA from 1 species